UGAGGAGAUGAAGGUUGGGACUUGACUUCAUGAAAGACAGGGUAGUGAGAUGCUUUGGUCAAGUUCAUCUUGUUGCCUUGUCCUUCUUGAAGUCUGUUUCUUUCUACCACUCUCUGUUA
rnacentral:pre_miRNA from 10 species